rnacentral:rRNA from 1 species
AGCAGCCGCGGUAAUUCCAGCUCCAAUAGCGUAUAUUAAAGUUGUUGCAGUUAAAAAGCUCGUAGUUGAAUUUCGGGGUUAGUAGGUUGGUCGUGCCACUGGUACGUACUGGCGUCGUUGGUUUCUCCCUUCUGACGAACCAUGAUGUCAUUUAUUUGGUGUCGUGGGGAAUCAGGACUGUUACUUUGAAAAAAUUAGAGUGUUUAAAGCAGGCUCACGCUUGAAUACAUUAGCAUGGAAUAAUGAAAUAGGACGUUUGAUUCUAUUUUGUUGGUUUCUAGGAUCGACGUAAUGAUUAAUAGGGAUAGUUGGGGGCAUUAGUAUUCAAUUGUCAGAGGUGAAAUUCUUGGGUUUAUUGAAGACUAACUACUGCGAAAGCAUUUGCCAAGGAUGUUUUCAUUAAUCAGUGAACGAAAGUUAGGGGAUCGAAGACGAUCAGAUACCGUCGUAGUCUUAACCAUAAACUAUGCCGACUAGGGAUCGGGGCGGUGUUUUAANAAUGACUCGCUCGGCACCUUAC